rnacentral:rRNA from 1 species
CGAAAGCCUGACGGAGCAACGCCGCGUGAGGGAUGAAGGCCUCUGGGCUGUAAACCUCUUUUAUCAAGGAAGAAGAACUGACGGUACUUGAUGAAUAAGCCACGGCUAAUUCCGUGCCAGCAGCCGCGGUAAUACGGGAGUGGCAAGCGUUAUCCGGAAUUAUUGGGCGUAAAGCGUCCGCAGGCGGCCUGAUAAGUCUGUUGUCAAAGCGUGGAGCUUAACUCCAUUUCGGCAAUGGAAACUGUGAGGCUUGAGUGUGGUAGGGGCAGAGGGAAUUCCCGGUGUAGCGGUGAAAUGCGUAGAUAUCGGGAAGAACACCAGUGGCGAAGGCGCUCUGCUGGGCCAUAACUGACGCUCAUGGACGAAAGCCAGGGGAGCG